CUUUGGUCUAUGCUGCUUCCUGAGGAGAAGUACUACACAGCCAGAAAACCCCUUCACCAGUUGAAAUCUAAAUCAAGGGGAGUGAUGCAUGCUUGAAACACCAAGUUGGGAUGCUGUAUAAUCUUCUGUUCCCUGCCCCUGAGGACCUUGUGCCAGGGACACAGGCAAAGAUCUAUGACCAGUAAGACCAUCGGGAGGAACAACUGAUAUGCUCUAAUGUCAUUGAGGAGUCCUAGUAAUGUUAUCUUCAGUAGCACCUGGU